rnacentral:tRNA from 1 species
GUGGGUAUAGCUCAAUGGCAGAGCUCAUGCUUAGCAGGUAUGUGGUCCCAGGUUCAAUCCUCAGUACCUCCA